rfam:Peptoniphilus asaccharolyticus DSM 20463 genome assembly, contig: Pasa20463_Contig222
AAAAUCGCUUAAGCGCCAGAUCCACACAUGGAUGACGAGGAACGGAGUUAUCGAAAAUUCGGCGGAUGCUCCGAAGGUAUCACAGCCUAAGUGCUCUACAAAAAUCAAAAGAAAUUUUGAUUACAAAUCGAGCAAAGUGAGUCUAA